GGAGAGGUCGCAUAGUCCGGUCUAGUGCGCACGAUUGGAAAUCGUGUAGGCCGAAAGGCCUCGGGGGUUCAAAUCCCCCCCUCUCCGCCA
rnacentral:tRNA from 1 species